GGGUCACUUUAAUAUAAAAUGAAGAUGUAGAACAGUUUAGCAGUAAACAGUGAAGUAUUACCUCCAGUUUGGUUGAAGCUCUGCUUCAUGCGAUUGAUCCAGACUUUGAAAAAGUUAGGCUGAUGCUCAAAACACUCUGUGUACAUUUCCAAAAGCUGAGGAUUGUUUUCUAAGAGUGUUUUCACCCAGUCCUGUUUGGGUUCUAGUAUCUUUUUGUUGGUGUCGCAGUAACCCACCAGAAGAUCAUCCACCACUGCAGUAGCCAUAAACUCUGGGAGGUUUGGGACUCCAGAAGA